rnacentral:rRNA from 1 species
GACGAACGCUGGCGGCGUGCUUAACACAUGCAAGUCGAACGGUAAGGCCCUUCGGGGUACACGAGUGGCGAACGGGUGAGUAACACGUGGGUGAUCUGCCCUGCACUUCGGGAUAAGCCUGGGAAACUGGGUCUAAUACCAGAUAGGACCACUGCCUGCAUGGGUGGUGGUGGAAAGCUUUUGCGGUGUGGGAUGGGCCCGCGGCCUAUCAGCUUGUUGGUGGGGUGAUGGCCUACCAAGGCGACGACGGGUAGCCGGCCUGAGAGGGUGACCGGCCACACUGGGACUGAGAUACGGCCCAGACUCCUACGGGAGGCAGCAGAGGGGAAUAUUGCACAAUGGGCGCAAGCCUGAUGCAGCGACGCCGCGUGAGGGAUGACGGCCUUCGGGUUGUAAACCUCUUUCAGCACCGACGAAGCGCAAGUGACGGUAGGUGCAGAAGAAGGACCGGCCAACUACGUGCCAGCCGCCGCAGUAACAC